GAUGAACGCUGGCGGCGUGCCUAACACAUGCAAGUCGAACGGAGUUAUAUGAAGUUUUCGGACGGAUUAUAACUUAGUGGCGGACGGGUGAGUAACGCGUGGGUAACCUGCCUCAUACAGGGGGAUAACAGUUGGAAGCGGCUGCUAAAACCGCAUAACAUUGCGACGUCGCAUGACGAUGCAAUUAAAUAUUUAUAGGUAUGAGAUGGGCCCGCGUCUGAUUAGCUAGUUGGUGGGGUAAUGGCCUACCAAGGCGACGAUCAGUAGCCGGCGAGAGAGAGUGACCGGCCACAUUGGGACUGAGACACGGCCCAAACUCCUACGGGAGGCCGCAGUGGGGAAUAUUGCACAAUGGGGGAAACCCUGAUGCAGCGACGCCGCGUGAGUGAAGAAGUAUUUCGGUAUGUAAAGCUCUAUCAGCAGGGAAGAUUAUGACGGUACCUGACUAAGAAGCCCCGGCUAACUACGUGCCAGCCGCCGCAGUAA
rnacentral:rRNA from 1 species